rnacentral:lncRNA from 1 species
AUGCCAGAGCAUUUUUACAUGGGCCAAAAGCACAGCCCAGAAAACUUAUGUUUCUCCCUUAGCUAUUUCUCCCAGCUAUUUCAACCCUUUUCCACACAUCUCCAAUCCCCUGCCCCACCCACCAACUCUGCUGAGCUCCACAUCCACCUAUCCACCUUGCAUCACCACUUGGUUGUCCCCAGGCACCUUGACAUGCCGAGUCCCCAAACCCACUCCCCUUCCUGUGUUCCCUGUCUCUGGAAAUGGCAUCGCCAUUUACCCAGUUGCCCUGAAAUUCAGGUUUCAUCUUUCUUUUCUCCCACUCCUUUUCCAUACUCCUCUCAUCUGUAUAGUUAGAAUUGAUGAUAUAUUUAUCGAGUACUUAGUAUAUUGCAGGCUCUGUUCCAAGCACCUUGCAUCUUAUUAUCUUAGUUAAUCCUCACAACCCUGAAUGGUACAGACUCUCACAUCAGUCUUUGCUGAUGAGGGAACUGAGGCCAGGAGAGGGUAAGUGAGCCACGGUUACCCAGCCAGUAAAUGGUAGAGCCAGGAUUGAACCAAGCAGUCUGUCUAUGAGUCUGUCCUCUUAGUCAUUACACCACAGUGUCUCCCAGUCUGAGGGGAGAGAAGGGCAGUAAACCAAGAAUUCUACAAAUGCUUAUUUAAUGACCAUGGUGAUAAGUGCUGUAAAGGAGAAGAGCAGGAAGCUUUGUCUAAGACGGCUGGGGGAUUCAGUUGGGGAAGGGAAGGGAAAUGUUUCCCUGAAGAAGUGUCCUUUCACACUGAGCCUUGUGGAGGCUGCUCAUGACGUCAGCAAGAGGGGAGAACACAGGAGGAGGGGGAGGCGGAUUAACGUCCAUCGUAGACCAGAGAUAUCAGGCUGUUGUCAUCCUGUCUGGACCCCACAAAUGGCCAGCCACCUGCUUUCCUUAAUGUGCAGUGUGAUCUGAUCCCCUUUGAGUCGAUUCUAUUCCAUAACUUUGACUGUCAGGAAGUUGCUCUGAUUGCUGUCCUAUGCCUUUGACCAAGAACUGGCAAACUUUUUCUGUAAAGGGCUAGAUAGUAAAUAUUUUAGUCUGUUCUGGCCAAAUGCUCUGUCACAACUAGUCAACUCUGCUGUAGCAAUGCAACAGCAGCCGUAGACAAUAUGUAAAUGAAUGAGCUUGGGUGAGUUCCGAUAAAACUUUAUCUAUGGACGCUGAAAUUUGAACUUCCUAUACUUUUUACCUCAUGAAAUAUUAUUCUCCUUUUGCCUUUUUCAACCAUUUAAAAAUAUAAAAACUGGGGCUGGCCUGGUGGCAUAGUCGUUAAGUUCGUGCACCCCACUUCGGUAGCCUGGGUUCGCAGGUUCGGAUCCCGGGCACCAACCCAGCACUGCUCACCAAGUCACGCUGUGGUGGCGUUCCACAUGAAAUAGAGGAAGAUUGGCACAGAUGUUAGCGCAGGGCCAAUCUCCCUCACCAGUGUGUGUAUAUAUAUAUACACACACACACACACACACACACACAUAUACACGCAUAUAUAUAUAUAUAAACUGCUCUUGACUCAUGGGCUGGCCAUAAAAAAACAGGUGAGGGGCUGGAUUUGGCAGUUGUAGUUUGCCAAUGCUGCCCCAAAUCAUAUUUCCAGCUACUCUACAGACGUCUCUCUCCCCCACCCACUUCCGUAACCACCCCACCCCUACCCCAAACGUCUCCAAAACAAACUCAUCACCCUCAGUGAAAUCAACUCCUUCUGCUGUUCUGAUUUCUGUUAAUGACUUGGGAUGUCUGUUACUCAGGGGAUGUUGGGGCAGCAAAAAAAAUGCACAAGAACCACUGUUCUAGCCACGCUAGGCUGUUGUAACUUCUCAAAUCUGCUGGGCGCAUUCCUGCCCUUGCUCAGCUUCUGCCUCACCUCUCUUCUCCUCUUCACUGCCAAACUUCUCCGAAGACUUGCGUCUACUCCCUGUCACCAUUUCAUCACCUCCCACUCCUCACUCCUCACCCCCUCCAAUCUGGCUUCCACCCCAUCACUCCACAAAAACAGCUCCCACAAAGGUCACCAAUGACCUCAGUGUUGCUAAAUCCAAAGGACAUUCUUCAGUUCUCAUCUUACUUGCAAUCGACACCCCUGACCACUCUCUUCUUCUUGAAAUAUUCCCUCUGACUUUGGCUGCCCUUUCUCUUUCUCCUUUGUGCAUCUUCCCCCCGCUACCUGGCCCUGACCUGUUGGAAUUCCGGGGUCCAUUCAUCUUCUCCCUCGAGCUACUCUCUUUGGGGGUUCAUGAAUCUAUAGCUCCCCUUCUGACCUCUCUCCUGAGCUGCAGCCCAUCUGUUUUUACCUGACAUCUCCUCUCAGGUGUAUUAAAGCACCUCAAACUUUACAAUCCAACACCAAAAUCAUCCACUCAUCCAACUGUCCACUCAUUUGACAAGCAGUUACUGAACAGUGGCUAUCAGACUGACACUGUACUAGUUGCCAAGAACACAAUUUUGAGUAAAAAGAGACAGAGUCCUGCGCUCAGGGGGCUUAUAGUCUACUGGGGGAGACACAUCUUGCCACACCUUCAGGCCUCUGAUUCCCCACAGCUCAUCUCUCUCUGCCACCAUGGCCGUUCUCAUUGUCCUUCCCUAGGGCAUUGGCAUUCAGAACUGUCCAGUUCCGAAACCAGAGGUAGCCUUGAUAUCUCCCUCUUCCUUACCACAGCUUCACGGUCUACCUUCUAUUCCUGUUGACUUACUCCUAAAUAUCUCUUGGCAUCAUUUCUCCUCAUCCCCACUGCUGCCCUACUAGUCCUGACCACCACCACAUCUCUUGCUGGACCACUGGUUCAUCUACUCUGGCCCUCAUCUAGUCUCUACACUUCAGCUGGAUGAUCUUUCCAAAAUAAAACUCUCAUCGUGCCACCUCUUACCCUACUC